AAGCGGGGCCAGCGACCGAGCACCCGUCAACAUCUUACCAGACAGCAUUAGAUUGAGCCUGAUUUCUAAUACUGUCAGGUAAAGAUGUCCGCGGGAACGCUGUGGAAUGCGGCGUGGGA
rnacentral:precursor_RNA from 14 species